rnacentral:rRNA from 1 species
AGAGUUUGAUCAUGGCUCAGGACGAACGCUGGCGGCGCGCUUAAUACAUGCAAGUCGAACGAGAAGCCAGAGCUUGCUCUGGUGGAAAGUGGCGAACGGGUGAGUAACACGUGAGAAACCUGCCCCAAAGAUUGGGGUAAGCCUUGGAAACGAGGUCUAAUACCAAAUACCUUCCUUUAACACAUGUUAAAAGAGAAAUGCUCCGGCGCUUUGGGAUGGUCUCGCGAUCUAUCAGCUUGUUGGUGAGGUAACGGCUCACCAAGGCAUCGACGGAUAGCUGGUCUGAGAGGAUGUCCAGCCACAUUGGAACUGAGACACGGUCCAAACUCCUACGGGAGGCAGCAGUAGGGAAUCUUGCACAAUGAGGGAAACCUUGAUGCAGCGACGCCGCGUGCGGGACGAAGGCCCUAGGGUUGUAAACCGCUUUCAGUAGGGACGAAAGUGACGGUACCUACAGAAGAAGCCCCGGCCAACUAUGUG